rnacentral:rRNA from 1 species
GACGAACCGUACGAACGUUAUUCGGAAUCACUGGGCUUAAAGGAUGCGUAGGCGGCGCGACAAGUUGGGUGUGAAAUCCCUCGGCUCAACCGAGGAACUGCGCCCAAAACUGUCGUGCUCGAGGGAGACAGAGGUGAGCGGAACUUAGGGUGGAGCGGUGAAAUGCGUUGAUAUCCUAAGGAACACCGGUGGCGAAAGCGGCUCACUGGGUCUCUUCUGACGCUGAGGCACGAAAGCUAGGGUAGCGAACGGG